rnacentral:ncRNA from 1 species
UAAAACGCGAUGAUGGAGUUACGGUUGCGAAUUUCGGAUACUACAGAGAGUCGGCACGCAGGUGAGAGCCGAUGUUGAAGAAGCGCAAUACGGCCUCGCUCCGGAGCGGAAUCCCCUAAGGCGAAAGCUGUUAAGGGAUUACGGCUGGCCCCGUUACAGGCGCCAAUGAGCGGCCGCGGAUAUUUCGCGGCAAUCAGGGUGGUACCGCGAUGAUUUGUAUAUUCGUCCCUGAG